CUCCUCUCACCGAGCUGGAGUACCGGCGUCGAUGGCAAGCACUUCCGGGAUCGAUCCCAGAACAUCGAUUGCCUGCCGCCGGACCCUCCGGAAAGUGUAGACGUACCCUUAGGCACCUGCAUUUAAAGGAAGCAAGGACCUGAACAUGUAAAUCUUUGUUUCUACAGUUCCAUAGAGUAUUCUGGCAUCCACCUGCUGAGGUGUUUUAUAGCCCAUGUUACAGGAAACCUUCCCAUGAUGAAUUCUUGACAGCCACAACUCUCCUGUUGUAUUCUACUCCUCCAGCACAACAGGGCUUCCUACCUGGAGGUGGAAAGGACCUGUCCUUUAAGAAGUUAUGAGAGGAUGAUGCCUGAAAAGAAAGUCUGGUACACAGGCUGCAUGGAGUUAUGUGGUACCUCCACUCUAUGCCCCAAAAGGAAAUUACCCUAAUGUAAUCGAGCAGCAGUGGCUACAAGCUGUGAGGGCUCUCCACCACCCCAUCAGUUCCUAGGAGAAAGAGCAGAUGAAAAGCUGUGACUUUGUGAAUGGUGAGAAGAUGACGACUGUUUUGACAGCACUUGUUAAUGGAGCACUCUGCCGGAAGAAUUAGUACUUACAUAGCAUCUAUUGCCUUAGAGAGCAAGGCCUGAGGAUUUCAAAGGGGUGGAGGUUACCUCUCCUUUUUGCACUGUGUUCUCUUGCUUAGCACAGACAUCAUUGUGGACCUCUCAGGGAACAAACCAAAAUUCUAAAGUGAUGACAACUGACCAUAAAGGAGUGAACUUCCAUGGCAAAUGAGGUACAUGCUGCAUAUCUGGACCUACCUUGUCCCUCAGUAGCAGCCUCCUAUUCUUCAGGGGCACAUAACAGAUGUGGAAUAAACUUCUCACUAAGUUGCAUCUGUCCAGCAAUGCCCACUAGAUGGCAUAGCUGUAGUGUUACUGAUGGGUAAGAUUUCCUUCCCAGAAAAUCGCCCAUUCUUAAGCUCCGUUUACAGUGGUGGGGUGUGGAGUACUGGCUGUGUUCUCACUUGUCACUGCAGGGGCUAGCUGUAUGCCAUGGCAACAGGCUUCAAGAGGGGGGAGCAGCUGGAGCCUUUCACUGGGGCAGGGGAAGGCUUAAGUAGGAGGAUGUUACACUACUAAAAAUAGCACUGUAGAGCAAGGAGGUAGGGGUGUGUGUGCACACACACACACAGCACGCUCUCCAGCCUGGGGGUUCAGGCAUGUGCUCUUCACUGAAGCAAUGUUGUUAAAUACCAAUGCUAUGUCUGUACUCUACAUGUGAUUUAAGUGUAGAUUAAGAGGGUGUGUGGUCAAGUGUCAUAAAAGGAAAUGCUUUACCUAACCUAAUUGACCUCAGAAACUCAUAGUCAUUAGAUGUUAAUCCUGCUACCUGAUAGUAGCCACUCCUAAAAACAGGAUCUGGGAGUUGUUGGAACAGUAGCCUAAUGCAGUAAACUAAUUCUUAUGUGCUAUAAGCAAAAAGAGAUUGAUCAGAGUACUUAGGAGUUAAAUCCAUCAAGCAGAACAAAGAGAGAGUCAGGGCUCUGACUCCAUCUAUAACCACUGUUAGGAGUGCUUAGUGUCAUAACAGCAGAGGUACUGUCCCAACACCUUGUGUCCCAAAUGGUACAUCUCUCAGGGGCAAAGAGUUUCCUGGAGCACAUGCUAUGGCUCAAUGUCAGUUCUUGGUGAAUAGUUUCAGGAUGCUAGCAAACCUUUUUCAGAAGCAUCCACUCAGUUUUGGGUGCUGCAUGCUCUGGGCUCUUGCCAAGUCAAGCAUCCAAAAUUAAUGGACUCUUUUGAAAAGUGUGUCUUAAAUCCUAUAGCUUCAUAUACAUCUGCCUGCAGAACCCAAGGUGGUUCUUUU